UGUAUGUGUCUAAAUGGGUUAGGUCUACAUACUAUGUUCGUCUUCUUAUGCUAAGGUGGUGCUGUGGUUGCGGCACCGUUUGUCAUCGCGGGGGUCGGUUUUACUGCCGGUGGAAUAGCAGCAGGGUCCUAUGCGGCGAGCAUGAUGUCGGCCGCAGCAGUGGUCAACGGAGGAGCUGUGGCAGCUGGUACAACUGUGGCUGCGUUACAGUCCGCAGGUGUUCUUGGCCUUUCUGGAGCGGCCACGGCUGCAGUGGCAGGUGCUGGUGGGACAAUGGGCUGGCUUACUGCCGCUGUCGUCGCUCUGAUUUGAAAGACUAAUCUGCUCUCAAGACGAUGACCAUCAGGAGUUUCUGUUUUUGACUUAUCUGAAUGUUAAAAUGCAUAGGCUAAAUAGUGCAUAACCCGAGGUUUUAUAUGCAAUAAACAGUGUUUAUUGCUCAGCAUUGUUACUUAAAUGUUCUUCUAUUGCUCUGUAGCUAAAUGUUAAAUGCUUAAAUGUUAAUAGCUUAACUGUCACUCAGUUGCUGUAAGUCACUUUGGAUAAACACAUCUGCCAAAUUAAUAAAUGUAAAUUAAAAUAAAAAAUGGUUUAGCCACCCUUUGAAUGCAUAACAUAUAAAAUGGCCUGUACUCAUAUAUGUUUCAAGUUCAAGUUUAUAGUCAUAUAGGACUAUAAAAAUGCCACAUAAUUAUAUAUAGUGUUGUAUAUAUAGUGUCAUAAAUAGUGUUUGCACCUUUCCUAUUAUCAUUCUUCUCCUCUGGAAGCCCAUUAAACCGUACAGUAAAAAGUU